AAACCAUGGUGUGGGCAACAUCUUAGCAAGUUCUCGUACCUCUCCCAUGCAUCAUACAUGCUCUCAUCAUCAAACUACACAAAAGAAGACAUAUCGUUACACAUUUU